GCCCGGCUAGCUCAAUCGGUAGAGCGUGAGACUCUUACACACUCUCUAGAGUGCUAUCUCAAGGCUGCGGGUUCAACCCCCGCGUUGGGCU
rfam:Diplodia corticola strain CBS 112549 scaffold1, whole genome shotgun sequence.